AACCUUACCAGGUCUUGACAUCCUUUGACCAUCCUAGAGAUAGGAUUUUCCCUUCGGGGACAAAGUGACAGGUGGUGCAUGGUUGUCGUCAGCUCGUGUCGUGAGAUGUUGGGUUAAGUCCCGCAACGAGCGCAACCCUUAUUGUUAGUUGCCAUCAUUCAGUUGGGCACUCUAGCGAGACUGCCGCAGACAAUGCGGAGGAAGGUGGGGAUGACGUCAAAUCAUCAUGCCCCUUAUGACCUGGGCUACACACGUGCUACAAUGGAGAGUACAACGAGUCGCAAAGCCGCGAGGCUAAGCCAAUCUCUUAAAGCUCUUCUCAGUUCGGAUUGUAGGCUGCAACUCGCCUACAUGAAGCCGGAAUCGCUAGUAAUCGCGGAUCAGCACGCCGCGGUGAAUACGUUCCCGGGC
rnacentral:rRNA from 1 species